AGUGUAAUGAAUGGUAAUAGUUAAAUGUCAGUGUGUUUGCAGCGCGCGUAUUUGCUAUCACCUCCUCCCUUGUGGGUAGGAAAUAUUUGUAUAACUAGUGGAAGGGGCCAGUCUACGGGGACAGGAUCUGGCAGCAGACCAGAAGAUAAUACAAGCAAAGGCAACAAACCCUCAGCUCUGUGCUGUGCGAAGAAUGUCUGCAUGGGUCUUUACUAGCAGGGCCUAAAGAGUGGAAGAUAUGAAGUCUCAGGCAUGAUGUGGCAUCCAUGAUAGAGGAAGAAAAAGUGACCAAUGAAGACUCGUGGCAAUGGAACUGUGUGACAUUCAUCCUGUAAGAAGAUGAGGGUGACAGUGAGGGACGUCUUGGUGACAGCUCUGGAGAACUUGAAGAAGGAUGGAUUCAAAAAGUUCCAGGCCAAGUUACAUGACACUGAUAUCAAACAGAUGUAUAGAAAGAUCCCAAGGAGCCAGCUAGAGGACAAGGACCAGAGCGAUGUGGCUGAUCUUAUCAGAACCUACUACAAGGAUGUCUAUGGGGUUGAGGUGACAUUGGGAGUUCUUGAUGCCAUCAAUGAGAAACUGGUGGCAGAAGAACUUCGCCAAGACUUGAAAAAAGUAGAUCGAUUCGUAAGGCUAGGUGAAAUAGAGGAAGAGAAAGCUGCAGCCCCUACAGUGGGACCCGUGAUAAGAAGCCUGUGUGAUUCCGGGGCGCUGAGAUACUCCCUGACUCUGGAGGGGUUUUAUCCCGGAUUCCUUCACCUCAAAUGGACAUGUGGAGAGAACAAGGAUGCUGACAUUUUAUCAUCCCAAGAUUGCUACAUAGAAAAUAAUCAUCUAUUCACCGUCUGCAGUGAGGUCCUCAUUCCACAGACUGUCCUCAAAAGUCCCGGAUCCACAGUACUUGUCACCUGGGAACAUGAAUACACCAAUAGCACCGGACAUGAAAAGCUGUGUAUCCGAGAUGACAGAGAUUUCCCUUGGCGUCCAGCUGUAGAAGAAGUACAAGUACCCCCCUUAUUUCAUGACACCCCAAUCACCCUGCAGUGUGACAUCUCGGGGUAUUACCCAGAUGAUAUCUCUGUGACCUGGCUGAGAAGGAACAAGGAGGACCGGGAGUUGUGCGAAGAAUCCGCUUCCAUCCAAAAAACGUUAUCAAAUAAAAACACAGAUAAUACAUACAGCUGUACCGCAAGGCUGACAAUCACACCUGCAUUGAGAGUCCACCAGGGGGCAGAGUACAUAUGCAGAGUGCAGCAUCCUUCUUUGCAGAAAGCCAUUGAAAAAAGCACAGGGCAGCUCAGUGUGAUGGGAAAACCUCAGAUGGAUCCCAUACAGAUGAAAUUGGUGGAUAAUAUUUUCAUUCAGUUUUGCUUGACUCUCAAGAAAUUUUAUCCAAAAGACAUCAAGAUAAAAUGGUACCGCAAGGAGCCACAGCCCAGAAAAGGAGUCCGGCAGGGAACCAAACACACAGAAACCGUCACAGAGGAGGAGGAUCUGACGUCUUCUGUCACCAGUGAAUGUCAGGUUUGGGGCUGCAGCUUUGCAGAUCCUCAGUAUAAAUUGUACGUGACUUGGGAACACACGUCUUUGGAUGGGCCUGAGACCAGAACCUUGUCUGUAAGAGAUUUUCCCUGGCAUCCUGUUUUAAAAAUAAAUGUCCUAACAAUGGAAGACAAGCAAAAGUCCAUGCUGCGCUGUCACAUCACCGGCUAUUUCCCUGAUGUUAUAACCGCGGCUUGGUUUAGGAGAGAAAGAGGCGCGUUGUCUGCGGCUCCAAUCUCUAGUGAUAUGACUGUAGAGAUUCUACCACACAAGGAUGUAAAGACCACAUGUGGCUGCACGGCAAUUUUAUAUUUUACCCCGACUAUAAGUGAAGACCAGGGGGCAGAGUUCAUCUGUAGAGUGGAGCACCCCAGCCUCGAGCACCCAAUAGAAAUAAGUACAGGACCUCUGGAAAUAUUGUGCUCUGAACGCCUCUAAAUGAUGGACUCUUUGAAGAUAGAUGGAUUGUAUUAUCUGCUCCACCUUUUGAAACUUUCAGUACAGAUGGUUUUCCCUAAGUGAAGACACGAUAUAUGCAUAAGAUAAAUGCAGAAUAAACAUUUUUCCUCAUGUACACUAUGAACUCCCUUACAAAAUAAUUUCAGACAAUUUUGUUCUUCCAACCUUGUGGUAAUAGUUUGGCGAAUGCCCCCUUUCUGUUCCAGUAUUCCUGUGCCCCUGUGUACAAAGUUAACUCCAUAUAGACAUGGUUUGAUGAGUUUGGUGUGAAAGAAUUUGACUAGCCUGCACAGAGCCCUGACCUCAACCCUACUGAAGACCUCUGGGAUUAAUUAGAUUCCAGAUCUUCUCAUCCAACAUCAGUACCUGACCUCAUAAAUUGACACAGAUACCCACAGAUACCCUCUAAAGACAUUGUAGAUAAUUUUGUUCUUUAAACCUUGUGGUAACCGUUUGGUAAAUGCCCCUUUCUGUUCCUGUGCCCCUGUGUACAAAGCCAACUCUAUAUAGACAUGGUUUGAUGA